rnacentral:rRNA from 1 species
GAUAAGGUUAAGUGAAUAAGGGCGCACGGUGGAUGCCUUGGCACUAGGAGCCGAUGAAGGACGGGACUAACACCGAUAUGCUUUGGGGAGCUGUAAGUAAGCUAUGAUCCAGAGAUUUCCGAAUGGGGGAACCCAAUAUCUUUUAUAGGAUAUUACUUUUCAGUGAAUACAUAGCUGAUUAGAGGUAGACGCAGAGAACUGAAACAUCUUAGUAUCUGCAGG